AUUGAACGCUGGCGGCAGGCCUAACACAUGCAAGUCGAGCGAGCGGCGGAAGGGUGAGUAAUGCCUAGGAAUCUGCCUGGUCGUGGGGGAUAACGUCCGGAAACGGGCGCUAAUACCGCAUACCAUCAGAUGUGCCCAGAUGGGAUUAGCUAGUAGGUGGGGUAACGGCUAACCUAGGCGACGAUCCCUAGCUGGUCUGAGAGGAUGACCAGACACAGUGGAACUGCGACACGGUCCAGACUCCUACGGGAGGCAGCAGUGGGGAAUAUUGGACAAUGGGCGCAAGCCUGGUGCAGCCAUGCCGCGUGUGUGAAGGAGGCCUUCGGGUUGUAAAGCACUUUCAGCGGGGAGGCGUUACCCGCAGAAGAAGCACCGGCUAACUCCGUGCCAGCCGCCGCGGUAAUAC
rnacentral:rRNA from 1 species